rnacentral:rRNA from 1 species
UACGUAGGGUGCAAGCGUUAAUCGGAAUUACUGGGCGUAAAGCGUGCGCAGACGGUGAUGUAAGACAGAUGUGAAAUCCCCGGGCUCAACCUGGGAACUGCAUUUGUGACUGCAUGGCUGGAGUGCGGCAGAGGGGGAUGGAAUUCCGCGUGUAGCAGUGAAAUGCGUAGAUAUGCGGAGGAACACCGAUGGCGAAGGCAGCCCCUGGGUCAAGAUUGACGCUCAUGCACGAAAGCGUGGGAGCAAACAGG